UCUGCCUACCAUAGGCCCCAAAUGGAAAAGCUGAGAACCCUGAUUAUGAGCAUUCAAGCCCAACUGAGAGCCUACGAAGCAGCUGGCAGUCUCUGCUGCAUCCUGGAGAAGAAUCACCUGGGGUCUGCUGCAGAGAAAAGGUUGGGAAAUCACAUAAACGAUGCUUAAAGGGCUUCAGACACACCCAUCUUCCUGAGAAGACUCAACUCAAAGUCUAGAGCAUCAAUGCCUAUGCUCCCCACCAGAGCCUAAAAAAAGAACCAUCCCACAGGGUCAAAUUAAUGACAGCAGCCAGGAAUCCUCCUGAACAAUGACCACAAGACACAGUUUCUAGGACAAUAUGAGCAUUUUCCACAGAGCUCCUUCAAGAUUAUGCAGGAGAGAGGCCUCUGAUUCCAACACUGCUUGGCUACCCAUUCAGGGUUAACUCCAGCUAUACACUUUUAGCCUGACCAGAUUGAAAAGUUUGGAUUUUAAAAUUUUAAGCAUUGUCUAGUCAAGGCUA